AGUAUAUGUGUAUGAGGCCCAUGAGGCUAGGCCCAUGAGGCCCAUGUAUCCAUAAUUAUAUGGCCACCCUGGUUUAGGGUAAGCCCAUUAAUGAAACCCUAAUUCUAAC